UACAGAGGGUGCAAGCGUUGUUCGGAAUCAUUGGGCGUAAAGGGCGUGUAGGCGGUUUGUUAAGUCAUGUGUGAAAUCCCUCGGCUCAACCGGGGAACGACGCAUGAAACUGGCAAGCUAGAGUACCAAAGAGGGGGGUGGAAUUUCCUGUGUAGCGGUGAAAUGCGUAGAUAUAGGAAGGAACACCAGUGGCGAAGGCGACCACCUGGACUGAUACUGACACUGAGGUGCGAAAGCGUGGGGAGCAAACAGG
rnacentral:rRNA from 1 species